rnacentral:rRNA from 1 species
AUGGCUGGGAGGGCCGUUAAGGUUAAUAGUGGGAACUUGGCUAGGGUCUGGCAUGAGCCAUGGAUAGAUGAUGUGCCAUUAUGUGAAAAAUUCCCCGUCUUAUUCAGUAUAUGUCAGGAUCAGGAUGAGACUAUUGCAGAUUUUGUGGCGAAAAACUAUAGCCUGGGUUUCAGGUGUAGGCUGUUUGGGGAGAUCAAUGAUCAAUGGGAAUGGGUAGUUUCUAAGGCAAAGAAAUAUACUUUGAACAAUAUCCCUGAUACAGUGUUUUGGAAGUUGUGCAAGAACAAGAGACUUACCACUAAAUCGGUGUAUAAGUGGUUGGAGAGGGAUUUAGCUGGCCCUAACUAUAAGUGGAUCUGGAAAGCUAGUAUCCCACUGAAAAUCAAAAUAUUCUUAUGGCAGCUAUUCCAAAAUGCUGUGCUUACCCGGGAUAAUUUGAGGAAGAGGAAAUGGCCCGGGAAUCUUGUUUGCUCUUUCUGCACGAACAUGGAAACUGCGAACCAUCUAUUUUUUACAUGUCCUCUUGCUCAAACAGUUUGGGGGGCCCUGGGACUUACGGCUGGAGUAUCCUGUUGCCCACGUUCCCUUUGGCAAAGCUGGGCGUGGUUGUAUAAGUUUUUCCCUGGUGGAAAACAAUUUUUCAUGAUGAUCAUUGCGGCUUUGUGUUGGGGGAUAUGGUGUCUUCGAAACAAAGUUACUUUUGACAAUUAUAAUGCUCGUUCUCCGCUGGAGGCUGUUUUCAGUGCAUGUUCUUUUAUGUUGUACUGGAUAGGACUACUGAAGGAAGAAGAUAGGUCGAAGUUUCAGGCGGGCGUGAAGAGAUUGGCGUAUGUGCCAGCAGCUCUGGCGGACAGGACUCACUCGCGAGGUGUGAUGCGACUGAAGGAUGGAGAGGGGAUCCAGAUCGGCUAA